UGUGCCUCACAUGGCACAUCGACGGGAAGCUGUGAGGGGAACACGGCCUCCCUUCCACACAUCAACAGGAAAGGGCUGUGUUUGGUGGAGGUGUGGACCUUUGGUCUCAGCGAGAACAGAACUGCAUCCAAAUACACAUCCCAGUUGUUUUGUGGAUCAUUGACCAACUGUGUCAGAGCUCUAAAAGACAGAGAGACAAAAAGAAAAUGGAUGAAGCCUCAAGAAUGAGGCAGGUGAGUGGAGCAGCUUCA